rnacentral:rRNA from 1 species
GAUGAACGCUGGCGGCGUGCCUAAUACAUGUAAGUCGAGCGAACGGACGAGAAGCUUGCUUCUCUGAUGUUAGCGGCGGACGGGUGAGUAACACGUGGAUAACCUACCUAUAAGACUGGGAUAACUUCGGGAAACCGGAGCUAAUACCGGAUAAUAUUUUGAACCGCAUGGUUCAAAAGUGAAAGACGGUCUUGCUGUCACUUAUAGAUAGAUCCGCGCUGCAUUAGCUAGUUGGUAAGGUAACGGCUUACCAAGGCAACGAUGCAUAGCCGACCUGAGAGGGUGAUCGGCCACACUGGAACUGAGACACGGUCCAGACUCCGACGGGAGGCAGCAGUAGGGAAUCUUCCGCAAUGGGCGAAAGCCUGACGGAGCAACGCCGCGUGAGUGAUGAAGGUCUUCGGAUCGUAAAACUCUGUUAUUAGGGAAGAACAUAUGUGUAAGUAACUGUGCACAUCUUGACGGUACCUAAUCAGAAAGCCACGGCUAACUACGUG